rnacentral:rRNA from 1 species
UACCUGCAGUCGAGCGGUAACAGGUCUAGCUUGCUAGACGCUGACGAGCGGCGGACGGGUGAGUAAUGCAUAGGAAUCUGCCCGAUAGUGGGGGAUAACCUGGGGAAACCCAGGCUAAUACCGCAUACGUCCUACGGGAGAAAGGGGGCUUCGGCUCGCGCUAUCGGAUGAGCCUAUGUCGGAUUAGCUAGUUGGUGGGGUAAUGGCCCACCAAGGCGACGAUCCGUAGCUGGUCUGAGAGGAUGAUCAGCCACAUCGGGACUGAGACACGGCCCGAACUCCUACGGGAGGCAGCAGUGGGGAAUAUUGGACAAUGGGGGCAACCCUGAUCCAGCCAUGCCGCGUGUGUGAAGAAGGCCUUCGGGUUGUAAAGCACUUUCAGCGAGGAAGAACGCCAGGGAAUUAAUACCUCCCUGGAAAGACAUCACUCGCAGAAGAAGCACCGGCUAACUCCGUGCCAGCAGCCGCGGUAAUACGGAGGGUGCAAGCGUUAAUCGGAAUUACUGGGCGUAAAGCGCGCGUAGGUGGCUUGAUAAGCCGGUUGUGAAAGCCCCGGGCUCAACCUGGGAACGGCAUCCGGAACUGUCAAGCUAGAGUGCAGGAGAGGAAGGUAGAAUUCCCGGUGUAGCGGUGAAAUGCGUAGAGAUCGGGAGGAAUACCAGUGGCGAAGGCGGCCUUCUGGACUGACACUGACACUGAGGUGCGAAAGCGUGGGUAGCAAACAGGAUUAGAUACCCUGGUAGUCCACGCCGUAAACGAUGUCGACCAGCCGUUGGGUGCCUAGCGCACUUUGUGGCGAAGUUAACGCGAUAAGUCGACCGCCUGGGGAGUACGGCCGCAAGGUUAAAACUCAAAUGAAUUGACGGGGGCCCGCACAAGCGGUGGAGCAUGUGGUUUAAUUCGAUGCAACGCGAAGAACCUUACCUACCCUUGACAUCUACA